rnacentral:rRNA from 1 species
AGAGUUUGAUCCUGGCUCAGAACGAACGCUGGCGGCGCGCUUAACACAUGCAAGUCGAACGAGAAGGCGUAGCAAUACGCUUGUAAAGUGGCAAACGGGUGAGUAAUGCGUGGGUAAUCUACCCUCGGGUGGGGAAUAACCCCUCGAAAGGGGAGCUAAUGCCGACAUGCCCAACAUUCCCGCAAGGGAGUAUUGGAAAGCCGUACCGUGGGUGCGGCGCCCAAGGAUGAGCUCACGUCCUAUCAGCUUGUUGGCGGGGUAACGGCCCACCAAGGCUGCGACGGGUAGCUGGUCUGAGAGGACGACCAGCCACACUGGCACUGCGACACGGGCCAGACUCCUACGGGAGGCAGCAGUGAGGAAUAUUGCGCAAUAGGCGAAAGCCUGACGCAGCGACGCCGCGUGGGGGAUGAAGGCCUUCGGGUUGUAAACCCCUUUCAGGAGGGAAGAUGGAACGGGUAACCGUUCGGACGGUACCUCCAGAAGCAGCCACGGCUAACUCUGUGCCAGCAGCCGCGGUAAGACAGAGGUGGCAAGCGUUGUUCGGAUUUACUGGGCGUAAAGAGUGCGUAGGUGGUUCGGUAAGACCUGUGGGAAAGCCCAGGGCUUAACCCUGGAAGGUCGCAGGUGACUGCCGGGCUAGAGGACGGGAGAGGAGAGCGGAAUUCCCGGUGUAGCGGUGAAAUGCGUAGAGAUCGGGAGGAACACCUGUGGCGAAAGCGGCGCACUGGACCACAACUGACGCUGAGGCGCGAAAGCUAGGGGAGCAAACAGGAUUAGAUACCCUGGUAGUCCUAGCCCUAAACCAUGGAUGCUUGGUGUAGCGGGUACCCAAUCCCGCUGUGCCGCAGUUAACGCGAUAAGCAUCCCGCCUGGGGAGUACGGUCGCAAGGCUGAAACUCAAAGAAAUUGACGGGGGCCCGCACAAGCGGUGGAGCAUGUGGUUCAAUUCGACGCAACGCGAAGAACCUUACCUGGGCUCGAAGCGCAGUGGAAUCCGGUGGAAACAUCGGCGCCCGCAAGGGCCGCUGCGGAGGUGCUGCAUGGCUGUCGUCAGCUCGUGUCGUGAGAUGUUGGGUUAAGUCCCGCAACGAGCGCAACCCCUAUCCCUAGUUGCCAUCGGGUCAAGCCGGGCACUCUAGUGAAACCGCGCAGGAUAACUGCGAGGAAGGUGGGGAUGACGUCAAGUCCUCAUGGCCUUUAUGUCCAGGGCUACACACGUGCUACAAUGGUCGGUACAAACCGUCGCAAGCCCGCGAGGGGGAGCUAAUCGGAAAAAGCCGGCCUCAGUUCGGAUUGGAGUCUGCAACUCGACUCCAUGAAGCUGGAAUCGCUAGUAAUCGCGGAUCAGAACGCCGCGGUGAAUACGUUCCCGGGCCUUGUACACACCGCCCGUCACAUCACGAAAGUGGGCCGUACUAGAAAUCGGUGAGCCAACCGCAAGGGGGCAGCCGCUCAAGGUACAGCUCAUGAUUGGGGUGAAGUCGUAACAAGGUAACCGU